rnacentral:rRNA from 1 species
UAAUACGGAGGAUCCAAGCGUUAUCCGGAUUUAUUGGGUUUAAAGGGUGCGUAGGCGGCUUAUUAAGUCAGGGGUGAAAGACGGUGGCUCAACCAUCGCAGUGCCCUUGAUACUGAUGAGCUUGAAUACACUUGAGGUAGGCGGAAUGUGACAAGUAGCGGUGAAAUGCAUAGAUAUGUCACAGAACACCAAUUGCGAAGGCAGCUUACUAAGGUGCAAUUGACGCUGAGGCACGAAAGCGUGGGGAUCAAACAGGAUUAGAUACCCUGGUAGUCCACGCCCUAAACGAUGAAUACUCGAUGUUAGCGAUAUACAGUUAGCGUCUAAGCGAAAGCGUUAAGUAUUCCACCUGGGGAGUACGCCCGCAAGGGUG